GCCGGCAGAAGCACAUGGCGGACGCCAUUAUCCGGCCGCGUGUGUUCCACAGACACUGCGCUGCUUUUUAAGACACACUCCGGGCUGUAUUUCUCAGAAAAACAAGUUGCAGAGAAUGAUGAGGAAAGAAACAGGAAGAGCCAGCUGAGCAAUACCCGGCUUUGCGACUGGUGAAUUUUGGGUUUUUAAUCACAGGUGUCCAGAAAGGAGAACUGGAGGCACAAAAGCCAAAGAUCACGGGUUGAGAUAAGAACAAUUUCCUGGAAACAUCAAUGAGACAAGAAAACAAACAGCAACAGCAACAAUAUUAACAACAAAAGUGUGUGAGAGUGAUUCACAUGUAAAAAUGCUCACUGCAGAACCCAACUGGAUGUGAUUGCUACCCCAUCCUGACCACCCUGUCUGCCACACUUAACCAAAAGGAAUCCCUUCUCCUCAGAAGGGAGUCCCUUCCCUCACCCGCAGCAAUGAUGUGAGAUGGUAUAGAAUAACCUCUGGGCCCUGCCACGUCCCCUCCUGCCUACUGCAAAACCUAACCCUGUCCUGACUAAAAUAAGGACAAUGUUUUAUCCCUAAAUAUGUAUACUAUUAAUAUUUUGAUCAAAUAAUCAAUUUAAUCAUAUUAAAGGGUUAGCUAUGAUUAUAAGUGAAGUAUAAGGUAUAGAAAUAUAAGGAGUGAUGUGUUUGGAAUGUGUAACCGCAGAAAUCUCACCAAGAAGUUACUGGACCCUUAUGUUUCAGUCAAGAAGCUAUGGAGACCAUCAUGCUCAUCAGUUAUGCUACUUGGAAACCCACUACCCUUCCCAUCUUGAUUUUAAUAUUAAAAAUUGCAAUCAGUAGACCUCAGAAGAGAUGACCAAUGAUUGUUUUAGGAUAAGAAUAUUAAUGAAGUUAUUAACUAUUGAAAUUGAGGUUUUGGGGGUUUGCUUAAGUUAGCAAUAUGAAUUAAGCAUUUAAAUUUUAGCUUGUAGAAUUGUGUGUUGAAUUUAAGCUUUUACUUAAGAAACCUCUGCCAUGCUACAAAGGGCAUAGGAAAAUGCAAAUUUCUGAAGCUUCUUGCAUAAAGAACAAUAGCGGGAGAAGACCAAGGAGUGCAAGAAACCUAGAUAAAGGAGCUCCUCUUUCUCCAAGCUGAUCAAAAUUGACAGACAUACUCAGAUAAGCACCAAGGGACCAAAGCGCAUGCGCAAAGGAGAAAAGUUCAAAAGUUCAAUCAUGAAGAAGACCAUGGCCUUCAGCCUGAGAGACCACCAAAAGACCCCUGUGCGACCACCACCAUGAACGACGCAUGCUCAGAAGGGUGUGGAUCUAAUUACCAUGUGAAGUGAGGACAAGCGGGGCCAGGGGUUGAAUAUGCAUAGAAAAGUUGUGCAAUGUAAUGUAUACGGAACACCUUUGUGAAUAAAGAUGUAGCCCAUACCAAGGCUCAGGGCACAAGUUUAAUGAGAGCUAUCUCACUUGUGCCAGGCACUCACAAUACAUACCAUACCCACUUAAUAACUACAUCAGGUUGUGGAGUCUAUUUAUUCCACGUAUCGCUUCACUAUUGGAACCAAUCAAUGUAAAGGUUAAAUUUAAGAGCAGGCAUGGUAUGUAUAGUAUGUAAAAUAACUUAUAUAACAAUGAUUCAGCAGAAAAAGUAUAUAAAAUGGAUAAGAUUUGUUUGUUAAGUGUCCCUGGCACCCUGAAUAAAGAAGCGUCUGCUUAUUCGCAUCAAAGGAUAAGUUUGGAUAAGUUUAUUUCACCGUUUGUUGACAUGAGGACUGUAUUUUUAAAUAAUGCUUUUUUUUUUUGGUUUCUGCUAAUUGCUAUUCCUGGACUUAACAGAUGUAAAAAAACCAUUUGCAAGUAUAAAUAUAAGAGAAGCUCAUGUAAAGACUCA